rnacentral:rRNA from 1 species
GACGAACGCUGGCGGCGUGCUUAACACAUGCAAGUCGAACGGAAAGGCCUCUUUCGGGGGGUACUCGAGUGGCGAACGGGUGAGUAACACGUGAGUAACCUGCCCUUGACUUUGGGAUAACUUCAGGAAACUGGGGCUAAUACCGGAUAGGAGCUCCUGCUGCAUGGUGGGGGUUGGAAAGUUUCGGCGGUUGGGGAUGGACUCGCGGCUUAUCAGCUUGUUGGUGGGGUAGUGGCUUACCAAGGCUUUGACGGGUAGCCGGGCUGAGAGGGUGACCGGCCACAUUGGGACUGAGAUUCGGCCCAGACUCCUACGGGAGGCAGCAGUGGGGAAUAUUGCACAAUGGGUGGAAGCCUGAUGCAGCAACGCCGUGUGCGGGAUGACGGCCUUCGGGUUGUAAACCGCUUUCGCUCAUGACGAAGCUUUGUGUGACGGUAGUGGGUAAAGAAGCACCGGCUAACUACGUG